rnacentral:lncRNA from 1 species
AGCUGUAGAAGGAAGAAUAGAAAUUGCGAUAACAAAAUCCUAAUUCUAAUAGAAUACUAACAAUUCUCUAAUUAGACUAUAAUAAUGGUAAACAAACAUAAUCAAAUUCAAAACAAUUCAAAGAAAUUUCAAACAAACAAUAAAAUUCUUAAAGAAAUAUUAAAAUGAUCACAAAUAUUAUUCAAAUAUAUGUCAAUUCAACCUUAAUUUAAUUCUAGUUAAAACCGUAUUGAAUUUCACUCAAACUUGAAACCAAACCUAAUUAAAUCUUAAAACCUAAUAAAUCCUAAAUCCUAAGUCAAAUCCAAAACAAACCUUAAAUUACACCCUAAAUCAAACCCUAUUUCAAAUCCUAAAUCCUAAACCAAACCCUAAAUGAACCCUAAAUCCUAAUCCAAAUCCUAAAUUCUAAAUCAAACCUUAAAUCAAACCCUAACCAAAUCCUAAUCCAAAUCCUAAAUCAAAUCCUAAUCAAAUCCUAAAUCCUAAUCCAAAUCCUAAUCCAAUCCUAAAUCCUAACCAAACUCUAAAUCCUAAUCCAAAUCCUAAUCAAAUCCUAAUCCAAAUCCUAAAUCAAAUCCUAACCAAAUUCUAAAUCCUAAUCCAA